UGCGUAGGCGGCGCGGAAAGUUGGGUGUGAAAUCCCUCGGCUCAACCGAGGAACUGCGCCCAAAACUACCGUGCUCGAGGAAGAUAGAGGUGAGCGGAACUCACGGUGGAGCGGUGAAAUGCGUUGAUAUCGUGAGGAACACCCGUGGCGAAAGCGGCUCACUGGGUCUUUUCUGACGCUGAUGCACGAAAGCUAGGGGAGGCAAACG
rnacentral:rRNA from 1 species